rnacentral:rRNA from 1 species
CCCUUAGAUGUUCUGGGCCGCACGCGCGCUACACUGAUGCAUUCAACGAGUCCAACCUUGACCGAGAGGUCCGGGUAAUCUUUGAAACUGCAUCGUGAUGGGGCUAGAUUAUUGCAAUUAUUAAUCUUCAACGAGGAAUGCCUAGUAAGCGUGAUUCAUCAAAUCGCGUUGAUUACGUCCCUGCCCUUUGUACACACCGCCCGUCGCUCCUACCGAUUGAGUGUGUUGGUGAGGAGUUUGGAUUGGCCUCGGAAGGUGGUUCGCCACCGUCCGUAGCUGAGAAGUUCUCCAAACCGCCCCACUUAGAGGAAGAAUAAGUCGUAACA